GGGAGACGGAGACACAGAAAAAGAGAGAGAGUGAGAGAGAGAGAGAGAGAGAGAGAGAGAGAGAGAGAGAGAGAGACGUGGCUCCUAAUCCUUCUUUAUUGAAAGCACACAAAGUCCAGGCUUGGCAUUUCUCAGCGAGAUGUUCUAGCCCACGCCAGAGCCACGCUGGAUGGAAAACUCAUUGGUCCUUUAAGAGCAGCUAUCUGAAAAGUGGAGAUCGUUCCAUGGGUCCGAAGGGGGUCCAUUCCACCCACGCGCUCCGUCCGUUCCCAGCCAGUCCACACACGCGUUGAAACGACUCCGGAAGUGGCAAACCGUACAAAAAACGCAACCCCACGAAUCACUCAGAGGAGGAUAAUGAAGACAAUGAUCAACGCAGCAGGGCGGCUUCAGGCGUGAAUCCAAAAUUGAAACAUCCAUCUGGAAUGUCAACGAGGAGUUCGUAUCACCUGCCCAGAUGGAACUCGUCUCCAGCGUGGGCCCCAAGGAGGGAAUCAAGGAUCACAACAUGACCGCGUUCAACAUGAUGAGGUGACUUGUACAGCAGCACCGCAUUCAGAUACCCUGGAUCUGUACCUUAUGGACACAGUUGACAAAUUCAAAGUCAUUUUUACCACAGUCAGUAAAAACAGUGUAACACAGACCUCCUUCAAUUUAUUUGCUGGUUAGUUUCUUUGAAAAUCUCAAGUAAACCUGUAAGGAAAAUACUCUGUAAGGCUUUAAUUGUUAACAACAGCACUCAAACAUCAACCGAAACAUUAAAAACAAAGUCACUGGGAAGAAAAUGUGUCGUCUUCUCAAGCCCUCAUUCAGGAUGGUUACUGAUCGCUUCAGCGCUGAAGUCUGUCUACUGUUCAUCACCUUUUGGCCUCUUUUGACUUUAUUAUUUCCCACACCAUCAGCAAGGCCUUAAUAAUACAGAACUCCUCCAACUUAUAGAUUUUUUGCAAGACUCUGUAAAAGUCUUGGGUACAGUUUGGUAACUUUGAGCUGCAUCACACUGAAACUGAAUUGUAAAUCGCGGACAAUAAAAAUAUAAAAAGACGUUGCCGCA
rnacentral:lncRNA from 1 species